UACGAAGGGGGCUAGCGUUGCUCGGAAUUACUGGGCGUAAAGGGCGCGUCGGCGGACCUGUCAGUCAGGUGUGAAAGCCCAGGGCUCAACCCUGGAACUGCGCUUGAUACUGCGGGUCUAGAGUGCCGGAGAGGAUGGUGGAAUUCCCAGUGUAGAGGUGAAAUUCGUAGAUAUUAGGAAGAACACCAGUGGCGAAGGCGGCUCACUGGACCGGUACUGACGCUGAGGCGCGAAAGCGUGGGGAGCAAAUAGG
rnacentral:rRNA from 1 species